CUGUUGUGCCUCUGAUUCUUUUAUCACUCUACAGCAGAGCAAAAAUAGGGUAAAAAAUGAUUUGGUUUCUCCUCUGUUUCUCCAUUCUCCAAGGGGUGCAAUUGAUCAAAUUGGAGGAGUCUGGAGGGGCUGUGAGAAGACCUGGAGAAUCGCUCCAUCUCUCCUGCCAAGCCUCUGGAUUCACCUUCAGCAACUACUACAUGGAGUGGGUGAGACAGGCUCCAGGGAAAGGACUGGAAUGGGUGGCCCGCAUAAGUACAGGAUCAUCUAGCACUUACUAUCCAAAUAAUGUGAAGGGACGCUUCAUCAUCUCCAGAGAUGAUUCCAAUAGUCUGUUGUAUUUGCAAAUGAACAACCUCAAGCCAGAAGACACAGCAAUUUAUUACUGUGCAAGAGACACAGAGAAAGGAAGUGAAUCUGAAGCCAAGCAAAAACUUUUUUCAGUUCCAGGAAAUUCUGUGCUCUGCUACAUUUCUUGGGUCUUAAAAAGAUAA